CUGCUGCCUCCCGUAGGAGUUUGGGCCGUGUCUCAGCCCCAAUGUGGCCGUUCACCCUCUCAGGCCGGCUACUGAUCGUCGCCUUGGUGGGCUUCUACCCCGCCAACUAGCUAAUCAGACGCGGAUCCAUCUUACACCACCGGAGUUUUUCACACUGAGCCAUGCGGCUCUGUGCGCUUAUGCGGUAUUAGCACCUAUUUCUAAGUGUUAUCCCCCAGUGCAAGGCAGGUUAUCCACGCGUUACU
rnacentral:rRNA from 1 species